UAGUGGUAGAUCGACUAUAAUAAAUUAUUACACAUACAGCGGACGAAGAUAGCAUUGCUUCGCGUGAUAAAAGGGUCGGUUGAUAUCUUUAUAGUCACAUGAUACUGAUGAUUUCGUGUGAGUUUGAACUACCAAGAAAGGGAUGACAAACGUUAUUCGAAAUCCGAUAUGCUCCGUGUCGCAUGGCAUGCUCGUGAUAUCUGUACAUGAAUGCCACAAGGACCCAUGUAUGCAUAUGAAGGGACCUCAUCAUGAUCAGUUCAAAUUUGGACAUUGGUUCUCUGGGAACGUUUUCAAAUUUUGUUAACACUUCGCAGUCAGGGAACCACUCCUUCGCCAACUCAAUUGCUUUCUGUAAUUAUACAAGAGCGAAACGUCAACUUCAGCAUCAUAUAUCAUAUAGCAUCAUUAUAGUUACCUUUUGACCCCUGGGGUGUUGACAGUUCUCACCCCUGUGUAAUCUAAAACACUUCGUUAGCGACAAGCAUUUAGUAACAACAAAGUAGUCAUGUUUAUUAACCUUUGAUUCCUAUGAUGAAUACUCAUGUUUAUAAAUUCAAUGGUAUCUCGAUGGACCAGUCCAUUCGAUUAACGUUAUGUAACAUGCUGUGAUUAAGUCGAGACUCUUAUCCCAAUCGUGUCUAUAGUGAAUAAGUCAUGCUUAUUAACCAAAUGUUACUUAAACUGAUAAAGUCAUGUUUAGUAAUAUUGUGUUACCUAACGUGAACCAGUAAUGUCUAUUAACAUAAUAUUACCCGAAGCGAAUUUCAUGUCAUUAAAUUGCUGAUUCAUGCAGUGACACUUUCCUUUUCAUUAACUUUGUCUUACACAAAGUGAAGCAAUCAUGUCUAUUAAACAUCAUACUUAUUAAGAUGGCAUUAUCCUAAGUAAAGCAGGUAAAUGCAUUCACCGAUUUAAAGGGGCAGUCCUUUUAAUUUAACAUAACGGUACCAAAGUAAAGUGUUAAUAAAACUUAUAUUACAUAAAUUGUGAUCCAUG